AUUGAACGCUGGCGGCAUGCUUUACACAUGCAAGUCGAACGGUAACAGGCCGCAAGGUGCUGACGAGUGGCGAACGGGUGAGUAAUGCAUCGGAACGUGCCCAGUCGUGGGGGAUAACGCAGCGAAAGUUGCGCUAAUACCGCAUACGAUCUAUGGAUGAAAGCGGGGGACCGUAAGGCCUCGCGCGAUUGGAGCGGCCGAUGUCAGAUUAGGUAGUUGGUGGGGUAAAGGCUCACUAAGCCGACGAUCUGUAGCUGGUCUGAGAGGACGACCAGCCACGCUGGGACUGAGACACGGCCCAGACUCCUACGGGAGGCAGCAGUGGGGAAUUUUGGACAAUGGGCGCAAGCCUGAUCCAGCAAUGCCGCGUGCAGGAAGAAGGCCUUCGGGUUGUAAACUGCUUUUGUACGGAACGAAACGGUCCUGGUUAAUACCCGGGGCUAAUGACGGUACCGUAAGAAUAAGCACCGGCUAACUACGUGCCAGCAGCCGCCGCCGUAA
rnacentral:rRNA from 1 species